AAAGAAUUUUUUUAAAAGCCAAUUCCAGUCCCCUGGAGCUGCAAACUGCCCUCAGGGCAAAGAAGCCUGCAGAAUAAUUGGGAGGAGUCUGGCUGGAGGAGGCUGAGAAGAAAGAACACCCAGCAGAAAUAGUGGAAACUCUACAUUUCGAUCAAGACAGUCCAGAGAAUGAUUCGAGUUUACAGGCCUGUAAUUGGAACAAAUUGGAAACAAAAGAAGAGCUCAUCGAAGCCACGUGAUGUGGCCGUGGUGCUGUGAGUGUACAUGCUGCUAAGCAAGCACCAGAAUAUUUUAACAUGAACAUAUUAUACUAGAAAAUAAAAAAGUGCAUCACAUAGUAAAGGUGGCAACAUAAUGCCAGAAAACAUUCUGCCUUUGAAGAACAAAAGUACAAAGAUGUUCCAACAAUUGAAGGUUAUAGUUUUGCAAAAUUGCUUAUUAUUCAUUGCAUUUGGAAACAGGGCAUGGAAAAAAUCAUCUUUCCCUGCCUCCAUCUCUUUAGCAUGCUUCAUUUUAAUGUCACCCGCUAGGAAAAUGAAUUAAAGUGCAUGACAAAAAAAGCUGGAAAUGGAGAAAAGAAGACAAGGACUUUAGAAACUCUGACUAACCCGUAAUAGUCAUGAAUAGUGUUUAAAGCAUCACCAGGAGCCUCUGUCUCAUGCCCGAUUCCAAGUUCAGGAUGGGAGCCUUCGCUUGGCUGAGCAUAGGUCCAGCCUGCUUCUCUGUCUCUGGACAGUGAGGGGAAGGAGCAGUUGUCCUUGUUGGCCUUCCAGGUGGGAGGUUUGGAGUGAGCUCAGGCCCAGCUGGGGGUUCCACAGCGCCAGAGGCCGGGCGCUAGGAGUGUCUUGCCUGGUGCAUGCUGGCCAGGACUGCAUCGUCUGCAGAGGAUUUAAAACCAAUAAUAAAAUCGACUGUGGAGAUUCGAACAUGAUCCAUUUGGGUGUCCAGUGGCCAGGUCUGCCACUACCUGUGCUGGCGGAGAUGACAGGAGUCACUGCAGCUCUUUGAAACAGGAGGGGAUUGUGAGUCAGGUAUAAUUGGCCUACAGAGUUUUGGAAAGGCUGGACAUGCAGCUCGAGUUGGAGCUUUUGAAAUGAUUCCUGUUCUCAGAUUGACCCUAUCUCUGAUGUGCCUGGCAAUACCAAGUCCCCACGUUCACUGCAGGGUCAGUUUCUCCAUAAUCUGGGCCAGCAGAGUCAAGAGCUCGUGCCCUGCCCCUCACCCACUUACCUGGGCUCCAGAGUGAACAUCUGGGUGGAGGAACCCUGGCUGCAAAGGAACAACGGAAGCUUUCGCUUCAUUACUCAUUUCUUGUGUGGGCAGCCCAGAAGGUCCCUGGAGGUUUUUGGAAUAGAAGUUGAGUGAAUGAGUCCACAGCUUCCUCUACAUCUUCCCACCAUGUCUCUGCAUUUGACCUUUGGCUAUGGAGGGGUAAGAACCUCCCCUGUCUGAUACCCGGGCUCUGUUUCCUGUUGACUUGUGGGUAGAGGAGCUGCCUCAGUCGCCCAGUGUUUCCUGAGCAGCCAUUUUUGUGCCGUCCUGACCCUCUGCCUCCCCGGAAGCUUCCCCUCCUGGACUCCAGUGUAGAUCAAAUUUCUGGUUGGUGCCCUGCAUAUUUCUAAAUCUUCUCCACCUCAACCGACAAACUUCUAUCGGGUCUGAGUUGCUCCAACACCCACAGCUCUCCUUAAUGCCACCUGAAUCUCCACCUGCCUUGGGAUAUGUUUCUUUGUCAUCAAUUUUAUUAUUUUUUUUAUUUAAAAUUUUUAUCCUUCUUAGAUAUACAUGACAGUAGAAUGUAU